rnacentral:lncRNA from 1 species
AUGCCCAGAAGGAACCGAACUCACCUGAGAAAAUUCGCAGCCUCACAGGCCUCAAACAGAUCACGCCGAACGGAAGCCUCCACACUUCCGCCUUCCGGGCAGGCCGCCCCGGCGGGCGUGCUGCAGGCUGGGAGCGGAGGCGCCUCCGGAACGCCUCGAGAGGCGGAGUCUCCGGGAGGGAGGCGCGGGCGGACCUGUUUCGUGCUUUUAUUAUGCGAUAUUGGGAGCUUGGCUUUUCUCAGACAGGUACUAUGCAAGAUUUUCAAAGAUGAAAGAAACCAGACUGCUGUCAUCAGGAAACUUUAA